UUCCAGACGUCUACUGUAAGCAAAUUUCAUUCAAGCCUCUACUAUGAACAAAUUUCUUCCAAACUUCUAUUACAGGUAGACUUCAGCUGAGCUACUCCAUAGUGAGUGGAUUCUGGACGAACUACUACGAUGGGACACCACUCCGAACUUCCACGACAAUUGGUCCUCGCCCGAGCUCCUACAAUGGAUGGUCUUAUCUCGACCUCUCGCGAGAACAGGAUCCCGUCCGAACUUCUCCAGCGAAUGGAUUUCGGAGGAGCUUCUAUAACGGACGAGCUCCAGCAGCUGGGUCCCUGUGAUAGCGAUCGCCUCAGAUGUCUAUCGAGCCUCCCUAGCACUAUCCAAAGUCCAUCGCCGACCGACCUCCUACCAGGUUGCUCAUAAAAUUGGACUUCUCCAGCGACGAUCUUCGGAUGAGCCUCCACAUCAGAUAAAUCCCAGACAGACUUCCCUAGCGAUCGGACUUCCCCAAACUCUGCCCAUAGAAAAUCUCCAUCCGAGCUCCUACGGUAGGCGACUCCCACUUGAAACGUCAGCGACCUCAGAACAUCCGAGCCUCUCCCAGAACAACGAUGUGAAGAGCCAUCCUACUUCAUCAGGCAUCCCAGCCGAGCUUCAACCGAUGGAUUCAAACUCUCUGACAAGCCA
rnacentral:lncRNA from 1 species